GGUAUCUGCUGUGUGUAAAUGCAGUAGCAAAAGUUGUCACCAAAGCAACUGCAAUACAUUUAAAAUUGUGAUAGGAAGAUAGCUAAUUGGUUGAUUAAUUCCUAAUCUCUUGAGAUGAUUGGAAGUCUCCUACUUCCUGCGCCGGCGCCGCCGUUAAGUCACCGACUAAGCCUCUGGAACUGCCAUCCACGGCCAGGUCCUCGGUGCUCACUGAGCAAACAAGGCGACCGCUUUCUCUCCACCCUUAUCGCCACCAACUCCGACGAUCUCUCCGCUACCCGCCGCUUACUUCGCAAAUUCGUUGGCUCAUCUUCCAAGCACGUCGCUCUCAGUACUCUAUCUCACCUUCUAUCUCCUACUACCACCUCUCAUCAUCGCCUCUGUUCUCUUGCCCUCCCCUUGUAUUUGGAAAUCAGUGAAGCGUCAUGGUUUGAUUGGAACUCGAAACUAGUGGCGGACUUGGUUGCAUUGCUUUACAAGCUAAAGAGAUUUGACGAAGCUGAAACCCUAGUUGCUGAAACGGUAUCUAAAUUGGGAAGCCGAGAACGAGAUUUGUGCAGUUUCUACUCUCAAUUAAUCCUUUCACAAUCUAAGCACAAAUCGGAGAGAGGCGUUUUGGAUUUUUGUACAAAAUUGAAGCUGGUUCUCUUGUGUUCCUCGUCUGUUUAUUUGAAGCAACGAGGGUAUACCUCAAUGGUUGAAGGAUUUUGUCUUAUUGGAUUGCCGCGUCAAGCUGAGGAAUUAAUGGAAGAGAUGAAGGAAUUAGGACUGAAAUUGUCAAAGUUUGAAUUUAGGGCUCUAGUUUAUUCAUAUGGGAAAUCAGGAUACUUAAGAGAUAUGAAAAGGAUUGUAGUUGAAAUGGAGAGUAUGGGAUUACAAUUAGAUACGGUUAGCUCAAAUAUGGUGCUUAAUUCAUUUGGAUCUCACAAUGAGCUGUCAGAAGUGGUUUCGUCGCUCCAAAAAAUUGAAGCUUCAGGUGUUCCGUUUUCUAUUAGGACUUACAAUUCAGUUUUGAAUUCUUGCCCAACAAUUAGUCUAUUACUGCAAGAUCCGAAGAGCGUCCCUGUUUCUCUGGAAGAGUUAAUGGGCAAUCUGGAUGAGAAUGAAGCGGUUUUGGUGAAGAUAUUGGUUGGAUCCUCGGUUUUGGUGGAGAGAAUGCAGUGGAAGCCUUCAGAGUUGAAGCUGGACUUGCAUGGGAUGCAUUUGACCUCUGCUUAUGUGAUCAUAUUACAAUGGUUUCAUCAGCUUCAAUGCAAGUUUCUUGCUGAAAAUCGUGUUCUUCCAUGUGAAAUCAUAGUGGUGUGUGGAGCAGGAAAACACAGUGUUGUUAGAGGAGAUUCCCCUGUGAAACGGUUGAUCAAGGAAAUACUGCUGCGGAUUGGAUGUCCACUCAGGGUUGAUAGGAAGAACAUUGGAUGUUUCAUUUCUAAGGGAAAAAGUUUCAUGGAGUGGUUAUCAAAUUAUAAUGCCACUAUACAUGAAAGGAUGUCCUGACAGCCACAAGUCUAGAUGAUUAAUAAAUAAAGAUGAUAUCGCAAAAGACUACAAGAAGAAGCAGAAGAGGUUGAAUUGGAUUGAUCCUUAUCAAACCAGUUGGUUAUGAUUGAGUAGAAGCACGAUCAUCUGAUAUGCUCAAACAUACAUUUUUCUGUUACACUAGUGAGACAGCUGAUAAGAAAGCUCCGUUGGGAAACGUUAGGUAGCAAAAAUGUAGUCAUUCUGUCUCAUGAGGGUAUCCAAAUACCUGUCAGCAAUAAUUCAACAUCAACCAUUCUGCAAGAUUUGCGAGACCAUCGGUGGACCAAGGAGUAUUUACAAGUUCUUUGGGUCAAGAAGUAGGAACCUCUCCAACAAGUAUCAGACAACAAGCUUGCCCUUCCACAGCAUGAGGCAAUAAUGAUGUAGCUCCAACACGAACAAUAAUUCUGUGAGUGCUUCAGUAUUUCUGUUGUCCAGCCGCAGAUUUUAAGCAAGAUGAAGUGGUACUUUGUAUCGCAAAUCCUGAUUCUGCCUAUGUUAGAAGGGAAAAACUGCUAAUUAUAGAAACCUUGUGUACUUCAAAAGUGGAAAACAACUUCUGCCUAGACCAUCAAGGGUAGGACACCAAAAACCCCGUGGCUUAAAUGUCCUAUUCUAAUAAAAGAACAUCAAAAAUAAAACUCUUGCCUCAAGAAAUUGGAGCAUCUGCGAGCCAAUUCCUAUUAGAUUUUCUUGCUUAAUUCCCGGAAGUAGGCCAAGUUGAGGGAACCCUGUUGGAGGUAAUGGGAGGCAUACCACGAACAUUGAUGUCAAUGGGAUACAGUCGGUACUCAAUGUCGAACUCUUUGAAAAUUUUAACCAUCUCCUCAACCAAUUGAGCUCGUCUGUUCCAUCUCUCUCCCAUGUCCUGAUGAUUAAUUCUAUGUCUGAUCCAUACAGACAAUUUCACCCUGUUUAGAUCUUCUAGGUUCAUCAAUACAACCGAAGGAGAGGGAUACCAGUGGUCCUUCCUGCUCUCAAUAUAACUGCAAUAGAAAGCCACAAAUGUUAUGUCCAAUCAUAACUUAUACUUGUUUAAAUCUUCCUGGUUCUACAUACUAGCCGCAAAGUACUCAUAGUGGUGAUAAAAGAUUAUAUUGGAUGACAAGAACAAACAUAUACCUGAUCAUUCUUUGUUUCAUAGCAGCAAUUUUCUCUGCUGGUGUAGAAAUGUGGACCG